rnacentral:rRNA from 1 species
GGCGGACGGGUGAGUAAUGCUUGGGAAUAUGCCUUAUGGUGGGGGACAACAGUUGGAAACGACUGCUAAUACCGCAUGAUGUCUACGGACCAAAGUGGGGGACCUUCGGGCCUCACGCCAUAAGAUUAGCCCAAGUGGGAUUAGCUAGUUGGUGAGGUAAUGGCUCACCAAGGCGACGAUCCCUAGCUGGUUUGAGAGGAUGAUCAGCCACACUGGGACUGAGACACGGCCCAGACUCCUACGGGAGGCAGCAGUGGGGAAUAUUGCACAAUGGGCGCAAGCCUGAUGCAGCCAUGCCGCGUGUGUGAAGAAGGCCUUCGGGUUGUAAAGCACUUUCAGUAAGGAGGAAAGGUUAAGUGUUAAUAGCACUGAGCUGUGACGUUACUUACAGAAGAAGCACCGGCUAACUCCGUGCCAGCAGCCGCGGUAAUACGGAGGGUGCGAGCGUUAAUCGGAAUUACUGGGCGUAAAGCGUAC